UACGUAGGGGGCAAGCGUUAUCCGGAAUCACUGGGUGUAAAGGGAGCGUAGACGGCUGUGCAAGCCUGGAGUGAAAGGCGGGGGCCCAACCCCCGGACUGCUCUGGGAACUGCAAAGCUGGAGUGCAGGAGAGGUAAGUGGAAUUCCUGGUGUAGCGGUGAAAUGCGUAGAUAUCAGGAGGAACACCAGUGGCGAAGGCGGCUUACUGGACUGUAACUGACGUUGAGGCUCGAAAGCGUGGGGAGCAAACAGG
rnacentral:rRNA from 1 species